AACGAACGCUGGCGGCAGGCCUAACACAUGCAAGUCGAACGAACCUUCGGGUUAGUGGCGCACGGGUGCGUAACACGUGGGAAUACACAUUUCGGUAAGGAAUAACACAGAGAAAUUUGUGCUAAUACCUUAUAAUGACUCCGGUCCAAAGAUUUAUCGCCGAAGGAUUAGCCCGCGCUAGAUUAGUUUGUUGGUGAGGUAAGAGCUCACCAAGACUACGAUCUAUAGCUGGUCUUAGAGGAUGAUCAGCCACACUGGAACUGAGACACGGUCCAGACUCCUACGGGAGGCAGCAGUGAGGAAUAUUGGACAAUGGGGGCAACCCUGAUCCAGCCAUGCCGCGUGAAUGAAGAAGGCCUUAGGGUUGUAAAAUUCUUUCAGAUGCGAAGAUAAUGACGGUACCAUCAGAAGAAGCUCCGGCUAAAUUCGUGCCAGCAGCCGCGGU
rnacentral:rRNA from 1 species